AAGUCGUAACAAGGUAUCCGUUGGUGAACCAGCGGAUGGAUCAUUACCUGAACAAAAUACGCCAGUUGUGGUGUGGCUGACAUGUUGUUGGCCUCUGGUAUGGUUGGUUAAUCAACCUUCCAGAACUUGUGGUGUGCAAUGAAUCGCACGCUUGAUGAGUGAAGGGAUUGCUGGAACGGACUCUUGUCGGAGUCCAGGCGAGAUGCCUCCUCAAUCCCACUGACUGCCAUUGACUUCACUGAAGCGAUUGUCGUUAAACAUGACAACUGCUGGCCGUGGAUCACUUGGCUGACG
rnacentral:misc_RNA from 1 species